ensembl:lncRNA
UGGAAAAACCCCGGCGAAUAAACCAGUACGGAAUGAAGUCGGUCGUCAGCCUGAGUUUAUACUAAAGUAUUUAAGAUAAGUUUAUGUAUGCCAGAGGGCAAAACAUUACACCUCCCACCCUCGAAAGCAAUGGCUGAGCAGUGAACAAGCUCAAGGAUUGCCUCUGGAGCUGGUGGAAGUGACAUCCAGUCCACCUCACAGCCAUCUUCCAGCCAUGAUUGAUUGGAGGAGGAAUGUCUUGGUUAAAGAAUGCCCAACUUUCUGCAGGCAGCAAAGACGAUUUUUUCCUCAGUAGGCAGCAAAUCGCAUCCAUUCUAUCCCAAUGAGAGCAGCACGAUAACGCGUGCCGUGGACACCCACCGUUACUACAGAUGUUCUAACUCCAGAGGGUUUGACUUAAUGGCUACCUAGUUCAACAGCAGUUCCACUCAUGGCGUCAUCCUUGAAGAGGGGUAGGUACCCACCCUUACCUUGAUUUUCAGCUUGACAAUAGGCUAAUACUGUAGUGACGAGCAGUCAUGGCUAAUGUCGGCAUUUUCCACACCAUUUAUUUAAACAAAAGGACAAUUAACACAUAUGGCAAACAAGCAGGGAUCUUAAAAACACAACACAGACCAGCGUCAAGUUAUCAGUCACUUUUUUUCUGUGGUCCGAGCACUUCUUAUGUUUACGGUGUCCAUGGACUUCCAUUCACUUUAUUUGCAGUUAUUCGCGCAACUGCUCUUACUCACGCCGUUGGAAUAAUGUAUGCAUCGUUUCACUUUUAUAAUACACUUCCAUACCUGAAGGACGUAUACACAUAGAAUGGACCAGAACUACAGUAACAAUUGUGAGGCAUUUUAAUCUAAAACUCCGACCCAGUCUAAAGCCCAUAGGAUCGUUUUUUUAGUAAGUGUGGGUAAUUGUGAACAGAGACGCUAAUACACAAGGGACACUCACACACACUCACACACACUACACAUGGGGUAUUUACACACAACACACGGACUCGAAGCCAUAACAGAAAUACACCCUACAUUAACACAGGCUGGGGAAUGCGAGUACAAUUUAAGUGGAACAUUAACACACAUGAAAAGCGUUACAGACAGACUUAUGGCCAAACUUGUAUUUUACAGAGAGUAGCUCGUAGGGGGUUUUUAGUAAGGGAUGUGACUGUCUCUAGUGCUGCUGUUUGUUAGGUCUGCUUUCUGUUUGAAGCCUUGACAGGAGAGGACCCAGAAGAGGCUGCAAGUGGCUUCUCCCCUGAAGCUCAGGAUGGGAAAAUUGUAGCUCAGGGUGGAAGCCAUGUCUCAGCUCCAACUGUGACUGGCAAUAUAGUUCAGGGAAACAUCAACACACACCAUCAUUAUCAUGGUAAGAAAAAGACAUUGGAUUCAACAGUAAAUUAUCUAUUGAUGCCCUGAGUGUUAAUAUAGAAGACAUAUUUAAUCUAUAGUGCUGUCACACACACACGCACACACACACAAUUCAUCCUCUUUAUUCCCUGAAGGUCUUGGGGUUUCUGCUCCGGCAACACCACCACAGGACCCGGGUAAAUUCAGAUUUGAUUGAAUUACUAUUUCAUCAUUAUAUUAUAUUAAAACUGAAACAUAAUUUAAAAUAAUAGUUCAGGGAAACAUCAACAUCAAUCAUUAUCCUGGUAAGAAAAAGACAUUGGAUUCAACAUUAAAUGAUCUAUUGAUGCCCUGGUUUGACCAUUUAAUUAAGAAGACAUUUUUCACACACACACACACGCACACACACACACACCCACACACACCCACCCACAGUGUGAACAUCAGAUGUUUAUUAUAGCGUUAGCUCCAGGUAAUGCUAGUCCAGGGGUGCUGCUGAGCAGGGCACACUGGUCAGUGACAUGUAGGGGUGUGUAGGGUAGAGGUCAACAUAAACCCUGGACACAGUAUGACUCCAUUCAGUGAAGCCCAGUUGUGUAGAAUCAUGCCAACUGUUCUAGACAGUAAGCAGCAUGCAAACCAUGAGUAGGAGUAGGAAAGACCAUCCACACACACACAAACACACACACACACACACACAAAC